rnacentral:rRNA from 1 species
GAUGAACGCUGGCGGCGUGCCUAAUACAUGCAAGUCGAGCGAACGGACGAGAAGCUUGCUUCUCUGAUGUUAGCGGCGGACGGGUGAGUAACACGUGGAUAACCUACCUAUAAGACUGGGAUAACAUCGGGAAACCGGAGCUAAUACCGGAUAAUAUUUUGAACCGCAUGGUUCAAAAGUGAAAGACGGUCCUGCUGCCACUUAUAGAUGGAUCCGCGCUGCAUUAGCUAGUUGGUAAGGUAACGGCUUACCAAGGCAACGAUGCAUAGCCGACCUGAGAGGGUGAUCGGCCACACUGGAACUGAGACACGGUCCAGACUCCUACGGGAGGCAGCAGUAGGGAAUCUUCCGCAAUGGGCGAAAGCCUGACGGAGCAACGCCGCGUGAGUGAUGAAGGUCUUCGGAUCGUAAAACUCUGUUAUUAGGGAAGAACAUAUGUGUAAGUAACUGUGCACAUCUUGACGGUACCUAAUCAGAAAGCCACGGCUAACUACGUG